rnacentral:lncRNA from 1 species
AAAUAAUUACUUAACAGAACAAAGUAUAUAACAAAGAUUUAUAAACCCAACUGUAAAUUCAUUGGACAGGAAGCUUACUUUGUUGUCCACAUGUAACAAUGUCUAACAAGAAGUCCUAAUUUUACUAUCACAAGUAUAAAUUCCCCGGUAGUAGCUAAAGCACUAUUCAAAUAGGUUUCAAGGACAAAGAAUACAACAGAGGAAAAAAUGCAAAGUCAGAAGACUAAAAUUUAUCAAUAAUCAGUCCAUGUUCACGGCCUGAAACACGCAAUUUUUUAUCUGGAAAGAUCAUACGGCCUUCAGCACAAAUGCUGCUUCAUCCUCUUACUCUUCCUAAUUGGAAAAAGUUUCAUCAGCAUAUUCUGUUAAACUAAAUUUCUAUUGGGGCUUCUACUGCGAUUUGCACCAUACCUAUUGCUGCACAUAUCAAAUAUUAUAAAGACACAUUUUGUUAGACUACGAAGCCAAUCAUCGACAAGCAAGAUACAAUGUCAACAAUACAUUGUAUAUCAAAAUCCAUUGCAAAGCUAUACAACUCACAUCCCCAGAAAAGGAAAAGAAAAAGAAUGGGAAUAUGUCAUAGAAUUUUCUAAAGGAAAAUUGCAUUAUUGGUGUCCCACGUUCAAAAAUAAAAUAAAAUAAUAAUAAAAAAAAGUAAGUUGGUUCUCAAUCCUUCAGCAUUGUAGAACAAUUGGUCCUCAAUGAUAGAAAUGUAGGAAUAAAAUGGGCUGAGCUGAUUACCAUACGGCUCAUUUUGUUAUUUUUUAAAAUUAAUAAAAUAAACCAAAAACGAGUCAAAAAAAGAAAGUUGACCCACGAGUUCAAGACGAGUCAGCUCGUGGCUCUCAUGGGCUGAGCCAAGUCAAACUGGUGAGCCGCUCAGCUGAUCUGCCACCACUAUAGAAACUAUACAGUUUUCCUUUAAAUCAUGGUGUGACCCUCGCAUGUCCAACUUCACGAGAUUAUAUGUUGUUUCUCAACUUAAAUUGGUGCCUAGAAAUUUGAAGUGAAGCAUGUUUCCUAAAGCACCAAGUGACUACUGACCACUAAGAAAAUUUUAGACAUUUUUAUCACUGGAAGCUGAUUGUACAACUUGCUCCUUUAAGGACAUUGGCAACCUUCUACUGAGACAGUAGGCUAAGGACCAAUGCAUUGAUUUUCUCGAUUUAAAAGCGUGAAAGUAACUGCAAGAACCAACAAAACAUGAAAAGGAACAAACCUGCCAC